AACGCUAGCGGCAGGCCUAACACAUGCAAGUCGAGGGGUAACAGGAAUUAGCUUGCUAAUUUGCUGACGACCGGCGCACGGGUGCGUAACGCGUAUACAACCUACCUUUUAGCGGGGAAUAGCCCAGGGAAACUUGGAUUAAUGCCCCAUAGUAUGGAGAUAUCUCCUGAUAUUUUCAUUAAACAUUUAUGGCUAUUAGAUGGGUAUGCGUCCUAUUAGUUAGUUGGUAAGGUAACGGCUUACCAAGGCAGCGAUAGGUAGGGGUCCUGAGAGGGAGAUCCCCCACACUGGUACUGAGACACGGACCAGACUCCUACGGGAGGCAGCAGUGAGGAAUAUUGGACAAUGGGCGAGAGCCUGAUCCAGCCAUGCCGCGUGCAGGAAGACUGCCCUAUGGGUUGUAAACUGCUUUUACAGAGGAAGAACCGCUCCCACGUGUGGGAGUUUGACGGUACUCUGCGAAUAAGGAUCGGCUAACUCCGUGCCAGCAGCCGCGGUAAUACGGAGGAUCCAAGCGUUAUCCGGAAUCAUUGGGUUUAAAGGGUCCGUAGGCGGGCAGUUAAGUCAGUGGUGAAAGUCUUCCGCUCAACGGGAGAACUG
rnacentral:rRNA from 1 species